CGCGGAAAUCCUGUUACCGCCAUUUUAGAGGGUGGACUGUUCAGCGUGUUUUGCUGAACGCGUUCGAAUGUUCCAGUGCUUUCUACGUACAUUUCAAAAGUAACUGAAUUAUUUUCUGCGUAAUUGCGGUAGACUUAGCAAUUCAAUAUGAGUUACGGCAGGCCUCCGCCAGACGUCGAGGGUAUGACUUCUUUAAAAGUCGACAAUCUGACGUACCGUACGUCUCCUGAAGCCCUACGGCGAGUUUUCGAAAAGUACGGUCGGGUCGGAGAUGUUUACAUCCCAAGAGACCCGUACACGAAAGAGAGUCGUGGGUUCGCCUUCGUAAGGUUCCACGAUAAACGGGACGCAGAGGAUGCGAUGGACGCUAUGGACGGUGCGCAGCUGGACGGGCGCGAACUGCGCGUGCAGAUGGCGAGAUACGGGCGCCCGCCAGAGUCCCACAACAGCCGUCGCGGAGCCCAGCCGAGGAGAUAUGGAGGUGGAGGCGGAGGAGGAGGAUACGGUCGAAGCCGCAGUAGUCCUCGACGCAGGAGGCGCAGCAAGUCCAGAAGCAGGAGUCGAUCCCGUUCCCGCAGCAGAUCCCGCUACAGCCGAUCAAGAUCCAAGUCGUACUCCCGUUCCCGUUCCAAAUCCCGCACACCACGCAGGAGCAAGUCGAAAUCGGCUUCCAGGUCCCGUUCAAGAUCCAAGUCAAAGUCCCGCUCCAGGAGUCACACUCCCCGAUCAAAUAAAGGGUCCAAAUCAAGAUCUAGAAGCAGAUCCAUAAGCAAACCCAAGUCUCCAGAGGCGAACGGAGAUACUGGUGAAUCGUGAAAUUUGGCUGCUGAUUCCUGUUUGCAAAAGAGGAGUUUGGGGCAGUUUGAGAGCAGUUAGUGUGUGAUCCGACCAUUGGCUGCCUGCUGCUGAUUGGUGUUUGCUAUGGAGCAGGUCGGUCUCAUUGAGUGUUGAGGUGGUGAUGAGAUGAUGUCACGUGGUUGGAACUUCAAGGAUCACAUUGAACAAUGUCAUCUGUUGAGGAUACCGAAAUAAUCAUGUAUCUGACCGAAAGGUUAUUGUAACUUGGUCUACAUUUUUUCUUUUUUAAAUGAUUUGUUUUUCUGUUGCCCAAAAUUGCUUUGUAUCAUACGUUUGAAUUCUUUGUGAUAUUAAAUGAUCUUUAUCCUUAAACUGGGCUGGCUAGGUUAAAUCAUUUCUUUUCAUUUUGGUAGUUGGCUUUUGUUUAUUUCCUCAAGUUUUUGAAACUCCCAGAAAGUAAGUUCAUUUUAAUCUGAAUUUAACAACUUUUUCUUAAUAAACAUCAUUGGACAAUUUUGAAA